UACGGAGGGUGCAAGCGUUGUCCGGAUUUAUUGGGUUUAAAGGGUGUGUAGGCGGUGUAUUAAGUCAGUGGUGAAAGCCUGCGGCUCAACCGUAGAACUGCCAUUGAUACUGACACACUUGAGUUUGGUUGAGGUAGACGGAAUUUAUGGUGUAGCGGUGAAAUGCAUAGAUACCAUAAAGAACACCGAUAGCGAAGGCAGCUUACUAGGCCAUAACUGACGCUGAGGCACGAAAGCGUGGGGAGCGAACAGGAUUAGAAACCCCAGUAGUCC
rnacentral:rRNA from 1 species